CCUACGGUGUGCAGCAGUGGGGAAUAUUGCACAAUGGGGGAAACCCUGAUGCAGCGACGCCGCGUGAGUGAAGAAGUAUCUCGGUACGUAAAGCUCUAUCAGCAGGGAAGAAAAUGACGGUACCUGACUAAGAAGCCCCGGCUAACUACGUGCCAGCAGCCGCGGUAAUACGUAGGGGGCAAGCGUUAUCCGGAUUUACUGGGGGUAACGGGAGCGUAGACGGCAGCACAAGUCUGGAGUGAAAUCCCGGGGCUUAACCCCGGAACUGCUUUGGAAACUGUGCGGCUGGAGUGCAGGAGGGGUAAGCGGAAUUCCUAGUGGAGCGGUGAAAGGCGUAGAUAUUAGGAGGAACAUCAGGGGCGAAGGCGACUUACUGGACUGUAACUGACACUGAGGCACGAAAGCGUGGGGAGCAAACAGGAUUAGAUACCCUGGUAGUC
rnacentral:rRNA from 1 species